UGUGGCAUCACAAUAUUACUAAAGCUUCGGCGGUACAAGAUGAGCAUGCGUCCCAUUAGCUAGUUGGUAAGGUAACGGCUUACCAAGGCAACGAUGGGUAGGGGUCCUGAGAGGGAGAUCCCCCACACUGGUACUGAGACACGGACCAGACUCCUACGGGAGGCAGCAGUGAGGAAUAUUGGUCAAUGGUCGGAAGACUGAACCAGCCAUGCCGCGUGCAGGAUGACGGCCCUAUGGGUUGUAAACUGCUUUUGUACGGGAAGAAACACCGGUUCGUGAACCGGCUUGACGGUACCGUAAGAAUAAGGAUCGGCUAACUCCGUGCCAGCAGCCGCGGUAAUACGGAGGAUCCAAGCGUUAUCCGGAAUCAUUGGGUUUAAAGGGUCCGUAGGCGGUCUUAUAAGUCAGUGGUGAAAUCUGGUCGCUCAACGAUCAAACUGCCAUUGAUACUGUAGGACUUGAAUUACUGUGAAGUAACUAGAAUAUGUAGUGUAGCGGUGAAAUGCUUAGAGAUUACAUGGAAUACCAAUUGCGAAGGCAGGUUACUAACAGUGGAUUGACGCUGAUGGACGAAAGCGUGGGGAGCGAACAGGAUUAGAUACCCUGGUAGUCCACGCUGUAAACGAUGGAUACUAGUUGUUUGGGGCACCCUGAGUGACUAAGCGAAAGUGAUAAGUAU
rnacentral:rRNA from 1 species